rnacentral:rRNA from 1 species
AAUCAACCGAGAUUCCCUUAGUAGUGGCGAGCGAACGGGGACUAGCCCUUAAGUGGCUUUGAGAUUAGCGGAACGCUCUGGAAAGUGCGGCCAUAGUGGGUGAUAGCCCUGUACGCGAAAAUCUCUUAGUCAUGAAAUCGAGUAGGACGGAGCACGAGAAACUUUGUCUGAAUAUGGGGGGACCAUCCUCCAAGGCUAAAUACUACUGACUGACCGAUAGUGAACUAGUACCGUGAGGGAAAGGCGAAAAGAACC